rnacentral:lncRNA from 1 species
UAAAUCAAUUUAGUGACUUGACUACAGAAGAAUUCAGGAGGAAUUGCUGUGGAAGCUUAAUGUGUAGAGGAAAAACGACUCAUGAUUUGCCCAUACCUGAGGAUUUGGGAAAGAACAGCUCUCUGACACCUGAGAGGGAUCAGGUAUGACAGAGUAACAUCCCCAACCUCAACUGCUCACAGGAAGUCAAGAAGGAACUGAAGUUCUCACUUGCAUUAGCUGCGAAACAAUAUGCAGUUCACUGUUUGACUAAGUGUUCAGCUCUUUGAAAUGUGGGCAGAGUUUUUAUUAUAUUACGGCUGACAACCUUUUCUCCCUGAUUGAUGUACUGUAGUUUGCCAUUAAAUAUGGUGAACAUGAAGGUAAAAUGUUCCAGGAUGGGUGUUGUGUGACGAAGCCACUGUACUGCAGCCAUUUUAAUUAAUGUGAUGUGUGCUUUUAUCCCAGCCAGAGUAAGAGUCGUGGCUUGAUUGUAACAUCAGAAUAGCCUAAGAGUGAAGCAAGCACUCUGCCAUUACCUUGGGAAUCUUCUGCCUCCCGAUGUGAGAGGAUGAUGUCGGAGAGGUUCAACAGCAGGAGGUAGCCCAUCACAGUUGUCCAGCAUUGGCUGUGUAUAGCGCAACAUUGAACUCAUGUAGGAUCAACACUGUGGUGUGAACUCUGAGGCACACUCAUACUAAUAAAACAUUGCCAAUAUUUUUUCAGUUCACGCUCUGAAGUUCUUAAAGUGAUUCUCACGAGGAUCUUUAAUUUUUAUUUUAAUGAAAUGAAUAUAUAGCAUGGGGUCUUAAUAUUAAAGCUAAAUUUUAAAUUAGU